CUUUUAUACGUUUUUGUGCCAUAAAUUUUUUUUUUAAAUGAUAAAUGCCGAAGUGUAUUGUAUUUGCCUCAGCAUUACAUUCCAUUGUUGCUCAAAGAAGAUUAGGCAGAUCUGUCUUUGUUUUACUUUCCUAUACAUUUGCAUUCUUAUAUCAUUAGUAAUUGUGAAACAUUAUGUGUUUUUACAAGAUAUCCCGCUGAUCAUUUUUUGAAUAUCCUACAGAAUGACUGAAUCUUUAAAACUUGCAAGCACUAAUAUUUUUGUCUAUGCAGUUUUAUACCUCAAGAUUUUGUGAAUUGGUAAGUGUUGUUAUAUGAUAAGCAAACAUAGAUUUUCAUUUAUUGAGGAAAAAUCAUUUUUGAUCUGGACAAAUGCUUCAUACAGUAUUAAAAUUUUAAGUCUUAAUAAUAUUGGAGGACACUUUUCUGAUUUCGUUGUAGUUGAAAACAUUAUUACUAGAAGGCUGCACGAUUUGAAAGGGAAGAAAAAAGGAUUCUUCUAAACGAUCCAGGUUUAGUUGAACAAAGGUUGAAUCAUCUUGAGCAAGAGGUGCAGACACUGAAGAUUGAAAACCAAAAGCUAAAAUCUUCACAAACAGGAAGUAAUGCUGUUUACACACGUUGAGGAAGAAAGGAAUGCCCUUCUAAUGUAUCAGAGAUAAUAUAUUCCGGAUUUGCUGCAGGUGGAUGGUGGAAUGAUAAAGGAAGUCCAACUUUCUUUGUCUUCCGCCAGAUCCUAUAUCAAGUGGGAAAUCAAUAACAACAGGUUGCAACCAUCUCUUUGGUGUGGAAUAUGAAUCGGGAUUCUGGGGACCCCAUUCCCAUAAUGAAGAUGCCCCUUGCGCAGUUUGCUCUAGCACUUCUGGGGCCCAAAUGCUGAUGAUUCCCGGAAGAGACACUUGCUAUCAUGGAUGGACAAAGCAAUAUGAUGGCUAUCUUGGAACCAACCGUCUUGAUUACGCAGGAGCAACCGAGUACGUGUUUGUUGAUCACAGUCCAUCAUAUCUUAAUGGAGGAGAGCGUGCCACGGAUGGAGCUUUAUUUCACCCCGUUACCUACCAGUGUGGCGCACUACAGUGUCCGCCAUACACUAACAACGAAGUCGUCAAUUGUGUUGUGUGUACAAAAUAAAGUUAUUAA